ACACCAGGACUGGUGCUGCUGUUGGGUGAGGAAGGGUGUCUGCAAGUGAGAGCUGUAGGCGUGACCCGCAGGGCUGUGCUGGAUCACGUUUGCCUGUCGCUUGCCCUUGUAGAGAUCCACUGUCCCCUGCGAGUCCUGGCAAUCAGGUCACUUUCUGCCUUGGGGCAGCUGCCAAAUGCCGAGUAUUAAAGGAAUCAACAUGACUGUGGGGCAGGAGCAACAGGCCGGCAUGAAGGAAAAACAAGUGUUAGAAGAUUUGGAAACGCACCUCACAAGGAGAGACACAGAGGCCCUCUUCCAAGAGCAGCCUCAGACUGGGAACCAGUACUUGGAAGACACUUUGCUUCGGAGUUACUUGAAAACACACCUUCCUCCCAAGGUCCUGGAGGAGGUGCAUCAGGACCUGGAGAGGUUUGGAAACCGCCUGCUGACCAAGAUCCAGCGUCUGAGCUGGGAAUGUGAGCUGAACCCCCCCGUGUUCCGGCAGUUCGAUGCCUGGGGGCGGCGUGUGGAUCGCAUCCACACCUGCUCAGCAUGGAGGAGGAUGAAGGAGAUUUCAGCAGAAGAAGGGCUGAUUGCUGAGGCCUAUGAGAAAAGAUACUCCAACUGGAGCCGCCUGUACCAGGCUGUCAAACUGUACUUGUUCUCAAGCUCCUCUGGAGGUUUCAGCUGUCCACUGGCCAUGACUGAUGGGGCAGCCAAAGUCAUUGAGUCACUGGGUAACCCUGGAUCUCUGAAAAACGCUUUUGACCGUCUGACAUCCCGUGACCCUGAGAAGUUCUGGACCUCUGGUCAGUGGAUGACAGAGCGAAGGGGUGGCUCCGAUGUCGCAAACGGCACCGAGACCGUGGCCAGGAAGCAGCCGGAUGGCACCUAUCGUCUGUAUGGAUUUAAGUGGUUCACAUCAGCAGCUGAUUCUGAUAUGGCAUUAACCCUGGCCAGGAUAGCAGAUGCUGAAGGACAGUGUACCCAGGGCUCCAGAGGCCUGUCCCUGUUCUUCCUGAGGGUUCGAGAUGAGGACGGGAAGCUGAACAACAUCCAGGUGCAAAGGCUGAAGGACAAGCUGGGCACAAGGCAGAUGGCAACAGCAGAGCUGUGGCUGCAAGGAGCCAGAGCAGAGCUGAUCUCUGCAGAGGGCCGAGGAGUGGCCGCCAUCUCCAACAUGCUGAACAUCACUCGGAUCCACAAUGUCAUUGGUGCAGUGGCUUCCAUGAGAAGGAUGAUCAGUCUGAGCAGGGACUAUGCCUGCAAGCGUGUGGCCUUCGGGAAGCUCCUCAAGGACCAUCCCCUGCACAUGCAGACACUAGCCCGGAUGGAGGUGCAGGUGAGAGGGGCGUUUCUGCUGCUCAUGGAGAUCGUUCGCCUGCUGGGCCUGGCUGAAACCAACCUGGCGAGUGAGCAGGAGCAGCUGCUGCUGAGGCUGCUCAUCCCAGUGGCCAAACUGUACACAGGGAAGCAGGCUUCUGCCGUGGCUGUUGAGGCAAUGGAGAGUUUUGGGGGCCAAGGUUACAUGGAAGACACAGGCUUGCCAGUCAUACUCCGGGAUGCUCUGGUGCUGUCCAUAUGGGAGGGAACAACAAAUAUCCUGUCCCUGGAUGUGCUGCGAUCCCUGGCCAAGAGCCAAGGGCAGGUGAUGGCUGUGUUCCUGUCCACAGUUCAGAAAAAGCUGGAGCUGGCUUCAGGCACUGAGCAGCUGUCCCCAGCCGUGCAGCGGGCACGGGAAGCCAUCGGGAGCCUCCAGCAGUUCAUGGCAGCCACGGGCUCAGAGCGGGCACUGACCAUGGAGCUGGCAGCCAGGGACUUCUCCUACAGCCUGGCACGGAUCUACACAGGAACUCUUCUAAUGGAACACGCGGCUCGGCCUGACGCUUCCUCCACGGACGUCUGGGCUGCCCUGAGGUGGUGCAACCAGGAGCUGUGUCCAGUGGCCGUGGAGUCAGGGAGGGGCAGCUACGGGGCCGGGGCAGCGCUCCAGGACAGCGCCCUGGUGUUCGGGAACAGCCGGCUCUGAGCGUCCGCAGCCCCCGCACGGACACGAGGUGGGUCGCAAUCCAAACAAUCCCCCAAAUCCUCAGGUACCUGCAGAUUCCAAGUGUGGUGGAAUGUACCGUUCCACAAAGGGCCAGACCAGAUCCUUUAGGAGUGACCCCCCACCUGCCCCGUCCUGAAAUCCACGGCUUUGAGGUUUCCUAGUGCAGACACAGCCCUGAGAGUCACUCUAAGGUGCUGGAAUGUUCUCACAGUGCUUUAGGCAAAGCACCAGUGAUAAAACCCGGACAAGAGCUGGAAACAACAGCUCUUCAAGUGCCAACACGCUUCUUUUUUUAAGAAAACCAACCAACAUCAAACUGAAAGUUAUCUGAAACUGAUUAAAUCCAGAAAGCCACCAUUUUUCCCUGUUCACCUUCCUGCUUUCCAGUGCUGACCACAGACUUCCGCCCCUGGGUGGGGUUUGCUCCAGGGGCAGCCCUUUCCACCCACUGUGGCUGUGAACAUUGGCCUCCUCAGGAACUGCUGCUUUCUGAAGAAAAAAGGGAUUUUUAUUCUCUCUGGCCUCCAGAAAGUUGAUUAAUUCCCUAUGCACGUGCCCUAAUGAUGCUGCAAUCCAUCCUGCCAUAAAUUCUACAUAAGUUUUAGACUGAAAUCCAGUAAUUCUCCACCUAAGCACUGGCUGUGGGCUUCUCCUUCCCCUCAGCCCAUCAGUUGAUCUGCUUGGUAUUGCCCUGUUGGCUACAAGUUUUUAAUUAAGAAGUUGCUAAUAGAAGAAGAAAGGCACUAAUAGACUGAAGACAGCUGGAAUUUAUAGCUGGGAAAUGCUGCAGCAGCAGACACUGAGUGGGAAGAGGGGGAAGGAGCUGUGUGCUGAGAUUGGAGUUGUCCAGAGUUUCAAAGAUGGCAGAGCCAGGAGGACACAAAGGGUGGCUCUGGGGAGGAGCAGAGUGGAGCAAUCCCAGCAGGACACAGCAAGGGAGGCUGCAUGGGCUCCCUGUGUCCUGGCACAGGGAUCACAGGCUGAGCCAAGCAGAGCUUCCCUGAAAUCACCCAAAUGCCACGAACCAGCCCCAGCAGCAAAGGGCUUCUGUUGGCUUCUGUGCAUUGCAGGGAAUAAAGAACAUUUGGGUCUGGAAAAUCUCCUACAUCACAGAAUCAUGGAGUCAUGGAAUGGAUUGGGGUGGAAGGGACCUUAAAGCCCAUCCAGUGCCACCCCUGCCAUGGCAGAGACAUCUUCCACUGUCCCAGGCUGCUCCAAGCCCUGUCCAGCCUGGCCUUGGGCACUGCCAGGGAUCCAGGGGCAGCCACAGCUGCUCUGGGCACCCUGUGCCAGGGCCUGCCCACCCUGCCAGGGAACAAUUCCUGCCCAGUCUCCCAUCCAUCCCUGCCCUGUGUCCUGGCACUAGGACUCUGUCCCUGCAGUUUGGUGUCAGAGAUCUCACGGGGCAGUGCCCUGUGGAGCUCAGGGGAAUGGGAAAGUGAGGGAGCAGGGCAGGCUCUGAGUGACCACAGCAGAACAUCCACCCCCAGAUGUGCCCCUGGCUCCGACAGCAGGAGGUGGAUGUGACCCAGGAGGGAAAGGCCACGUGCUGGAAGUGUUUGCAGAGCUGAUCAACACCUGGGAUCCCCUGCUCUCCCUAAGGGCUCAUCUCCAACUGCUGCCAAUCCAGGCUUCUCCUUUUCCCAGCUAUUUUACAUUUCUGAACACCAGGAUUAAUUUUUCCUCGUACAUGAGCUGUAAUUUGCCUAAAAAUAAGCCCCUCAAACUGGGAGCUCUGCAGAUGCACCAACUCAGAGAAAAGGGACUCUGAAUUCCUCACUGUGUAGGAAAAUGACAAAUUUAUUAAGAUCUAAAUAUUCACUCUGAGGCUGCAGUGGAAUAAAGGCUGUUACACACAUGAGGGUCUGACACUUCCAGUGCUGCUGAACAGCUCUGUCCUCAGAGCUUGGCAUGGUUUCAAAUAUUUCAUGUGCUUCAAGUAAGUAAUUGAGACUUCAGAUGUCAUUUUAAUAUAAAUCCCACCCAAAAAGAGGACAAUCAAACCCAUCAACCUGCUGCCACUGCAAGGUCUGAAAAUCAUUUUGUGACAGAGCUGUGGGAAAUCAGUUCAAAACCUGGAUUUGGUAAAUAAUAAAGUCAAACUUCAGCAGCGUUUAUAAAAUGCCCAAGUCCAAAGAACAGUGAGCUGAAAUCCCAGAAUGCAACAAUGGGAGCUGUGGCAGCUGCACUGUGGGAAGAGAUGGACAGCUCCAAGCCUGGGGAGCACCUGGGCCUCCUGCAGAGCUGCCCUUUGCUCAGUGCUGACUCCAAACCUCGUCCUGGGGAAUUCCAGGACUCUCUGUUCGAUAGGCCCUGAACCUGCUCAGCUUCCUGCCCGUGGUUAUUGAUUUCCCUUUGCAGCCUCCCAACACCUCAGAACCUCUCCCAGGGCAGGCUUCCUCUCUCUCCUGCAGCCUUUCCCAGGUAGUGGAGCAGUUCCCAAACAGCUCCUUCCCUCCCUUCCCCAGCAGAGCCGUUGGUUUCCACCCUGCCCCUGCCUCCACCACCCUUACCUGUGCCCAGCUCUGAGAACUGAGCCCUCCCAGGUGAGAUCCCUCCUGCCCUGUGGGGGAGGAGGGGACCCUGGGAUGAGAGGCGCCCCCAGUUCCCAGUGACUCCUGACCCUGUCUGAGAUCCCGACUCAGGAGGCUGUUCCACAGCCCGGGGGCAGCACUGAAGCCGCCUAUCGCGACAGCAGCGCCGGUGUCCUGAGAGGGUCAUGGGCUGUCUGGGAGCUGGGACAAAGGAGAGAGGGAAGGAGGCUCCUUAGGAAGAAUUGAUCACGGGGAAAUGAGUUUUGACACCUCCAGCCGUGUCCUCUUCUGGCAGAGCUGCUGCCCCUGGCAGGAGCCCUUCUGCACCUUGGGGAAGCUCAGAACUCCUCUGAUCCCUCUGCCGGGGCAGAGACCCACACUCGGCAUUUCCCAGACCAGAAACUCCUGGCACACUGUGCCCGGGGCUUGUGAGAAAGCCCUCAGGAGAAACUCAGGUAUGAGAGGAGCUCCAGGAAAUCCCACUGUGAGGGGUAACUGAAACACUUUGCAUGUUCCUUACACCACCGAAUGUGAUUCUUACUUUUCCGCUCCAGAUUCCAUCAGCAGCUCUACCCCAGCCUGGUUUAUUUUGAUUAAUGAACACCAGUGAAUCACAGAGGGAUUGUGCCCAAGGUCUUGUGAUGACACAUGUCUGGCCCCACACCCCCCCCCAGCUGCUCAGACCCCCAAGAAUUCAGGGCAAAUCCUCAAAUAUAUAAGAGAAGAAAUAAAUGAUGGUGGGGGGCCUGAGGACUGUGUGCAGCUGGAAUGAGCAGGCAGUGCUUGGAAAAUGGGAAUAACCCUUGUGCAGGGCCAACAUCAGUUGAGUUCUCCACCUUCUGGGACAAAGAGAUCUUAAACCUGAGUGACUUUGGUUUGUUCCCAAAGAGCCACAGCUCCACCAUCCAGCACCAGGAUAAGGCAGGUGCAAGCAGGAAUGGAGCUUCCACUGGCAAACCCCACAGAAAGCAGGGGGAAUUCCCUGGAGAUCAGGGCUGCUCCCACAUUUGGAUAACAUCACCAGACUGAAAUACCAUGGUUGGUCAAGGGGAGAAAGAAAAACAUGGUAUGGAGGAAACUGAGACUGGCACCUUUCUCCGUCCUGGGAAAACCAUGCUGAUUGUGCCAGCAGAACCUGGCAAGGACUGACAGCUUGUUGUUCCUUGGAAAGACACAGCAUAGAACAGAAAGCCGAGGGCAGCAGCGGCAGCCUCCUUUUCCAAGGCCUUGGUGUUCCUGCUAAGCCUCCAAUACAUCCCUCCAAG